GUUGAAACACCGGUUCUCGCGUGAUCACCGAAGUUAAGCAACGUCGAGCCUGGUCAGUACCUUUAUGAGAGACAGCUUGGGAUUACCAGGUGGCGUAAG